CCCCCGCUUCCCAGCACGGCUGGCGGGCUCCCGGGGGCACCUCAGAGCGCCCCUCUCCAGCCUGGGUGUGCCAUGGCUGUGGCAGAAAGCUCCCCGCGUCGCCGGGCCCUGCCCGCUCCCUCCGCCGCUGGGUCGGACGGCGCCAGCUUGAAUGUGGAAGUAUGGCGGGUUGUGGAGGAGCUGUGUGAGACGUCUCUCCCGCCGUCCGGAGCCCGGGAGCGGGCACUGGCCUGCGCGGCGGCAGCUGUCGGUGUGCCUGGGUGUCGGCAGUGCUUUGGUGAAGUGGCCUGGUCUCUUGUCAACUGAGAACUGUUGCUCGCUGUGCAGCUUCAAGAAGGGCUCUGGGAGCGCUGUGUUAGAUUCCUCAGGAUUGUGAGGAGAGAUGUGAUCCAUAAGCAUAUUUUUGCAAUAUGUAUAUACACACACACAUAAUAUUCAGAGUUUAUGGAAAAAUUAAGUCUUUCUGACAUUGUACUGACUUUACAUUCCUAAAAAUUUUACAGGGAAGCAAUCUGUAUUGCAUGAAGAGUGAAGACCUUAAUAUGUAAUUCCAGUUCUCGUUGCCAUUGAUGCUUUUGUGUUUUGCAAACCAGUGAAUGAGCCAACAUUACAUAUUCUGUGGGUAGGAGACAGCUCACUCAUAAGAAAACACAGACUUGGAAAAAGUGCUGCCUCAGUGCUCUGUUUGGAGCAGGGCAUUGGGUACAGGUCCUGAAUACAGGUCUCAGGACUCCAUGCUGGUAGCUGUGUGGUCAGUCCAUGCUGGUCACAUCAAGGCGAGAGAUGUAGUCCCUGGUGGCAUCUUUCUGUGUGUUCCUCCUCUCAGCACAGCAGCUCUGUCCCUGCCCUGGAGGCAGCUCCAGCCGGUACUUGUGCAGGUGAAAGACCAGGUGGCAAGUCUACCGCUCCUCCUCCAGCCCAGCCUACACCGCCCAGGCUUGCCGCCCCCGCGGACCGCGGGCGGGUAGGUGGUUAAUAAUGACUUUUAUUGUCUCUACGUAAAAAUAGAGAAGAGGAGCAGAGAAGGGAUAUUCCGCCUGUAGGUACUCUAUAGAAAGCAUUAACUGGCUUGGAGGUGUGAUGACACCACACAAAGCAACGCGGCGUUAAUGUAUAAGCUAGUAGUAAAGUGAUUUAACACGACACUAGAGUUACCUGGGCUAAUUAUGCCUCUCAGAGGACUAGAUUGCUUUCUGACUAGCCUGGAUAUCCCUGUGCUGCACCAGUGUGUGCAGUGUAAAUAUAACCUAACAUGUUUUUACCAGCAAAACCCCUACAUAAUAUUUAGCUUCAAAUAAUGUUAAAUUUAAAAUAAAACCUAACAAGUGCUUUCUGAUUGCUUUUCAGUUGCAUCUGUUUCUGUGCUUCCUAAUUCAAUUUGGAAGUGAGGGGACUGAAGAAGAAUUAGUUUUGGAUGAAGUCUGAUUGAAUUUUUAGACACAAGAGGUACUGCUUAAUGAUUUCAGUAAUACAGGCAUUAAUUGUAAAUAACUUGAAACAGUGUUAGUCAAAUUCUUAGACCUAGAUUUUGAAAGUUAAAUAUUCAUAGUUCCUCCUUUGCCAUGUAUUUUUCCACCCUCAACUCCCUCCCUCCUUCCUAACAGGUCUCCAUUUUUUGUUUUCUUUGCCUACAGAUGUCUGCUCUUAAAAGGCAAGGUGUUACACUAGGCUUUAACAGCACUUGUUCUAAAGCUCAUUCUAAGCUCUGCUAUAUAGCAUCCUACAGUCCAGGAUUUAACAGUAAGGAUGCUUUUUUUUUUCCUGUCCCUAAGAAUGUUCUUUUUAGCAGAAACAUCCCAUGUUUCUUUCAUAGUGACAUGAUGGCAAAUAGAGAUGUUCACUGAUGUAAAAAUAAAAUGAGAUGCUGUAGUACUGAAUUAAUUAAAAUGACUCUUUCAUUUC